rnacentral:lncRNA from 1 species
CGGUGCAUUCUCCUCCUCCGCCCUAUGAGUACAAGUCACCACCACCUCCGGUGCACUCACCACCUCCUCCAUAUGAGUACAAAUCACCACCACCUCCGGUGCAUUCUCCACCUCCACCAUAUGAGUAUAAAUCACCACCACCACCUUCACCAUCCCCACCACCACCAUAUGUGUACAAGUCUCCACCACCACCCGUCAAAUCCCCACCUCCACCAUACCACUACUCAUCACCACCACCACCCGUAAAAUCCCCACCUCCACCAUACCACUACUCCUCCCCACCACCACCUGUAAAAUCACCUCCUCCACCUUAUCAUUACUCAUCUCCACCACCACCAGUCAAAUCCCCACCACCACCAUACCACUACUCAUCACCUCCACCACCCGUAAAAUCACCACCUCCACCAUACUACUACAAGUCCCCACCACCUCCAGUUAAAUCCCCACCACCACCAUACUACUACCAUUCUCCUCCUCCCCCAGUGAAGUCACCACCUCCACCAUACCACUACAACUCUCCUCCACCACCCAAGCAUUCUCCACCACCACCUUACUACUACAAGUCUCCACCACCCCCCGUCAAGUCACCACCCCCACCAUACUACUAUCACUCUCCACCACCCCCAAUGAAGUCACCACCCCCACCAUACUACUACAGCUCACCACCACCACCCGUCAAGUCCCCACCACCACCAUACUACUACAGUUCACCACCACCACCGGUGAAAUCCCCGCCACCCCCAUACUACUACACAUCCCCACCACCACCAGUGAAAUCUCCACCACCUCCUUACUAUCCUCACCCUCAUCAUCACUCAUACACCGUGAAGGUAGUAGGAAAGGUUUACUGUUACAGAUGCUACGACUGGAAGUACCCAAUCAAGUCCCAUGCAAAGAUGCACCUAAAAGGUAACUUUUUUUCUAUUUUAUCAAUUAUUUAAUACACAUAAUUACCUCCUAGUUACAUUCUUCAGUCUUAAGUAUAUAUGUUUUUUCAGUUAUAUACACGCUCCUCUUUAAUAAUUUAGCUUUCUUACUGAUCAUUGCUUAUUAUAUUGUCCACGCACAUGCAUGCUAGCUAGCUCAUACUACACUCAUUUUCCUUUUCCUUGCUCUUUCUUAAUGUGGAAAUCCUAAUACCCUAGUGAGCUUAAUUAUUAUCACCAGAUCACUUCUAAAAUGUAAAGUUAAUCAUGCUUUUAUAAUGAACUAAUAUGCUUCAUUUAUUAUUAAUCACUUUGGUUUCUUUUUAUGUGACACUGUGAUUUACAUGCAUUCUAUAUAGUUCCGGCCACCUAGUACACUUUAAUGAGCUUGAUUAAUAUCAGAUCAUCUUCCUAUAAAAAGUUAAAUCAUGAUUUAUGAAUUAAUUAAUAUCCAUAACGACCAUAUGUCAUAACAGCUUUAUGUUGUAAAGCGAAAGAAAAGAAGGGCUGGACACCAUUAUAUAAUAGGACAGAUUCGAUCUGGCUAGCACCCACCCGAUCCACAUUGUUCAAUAAAAGACAUGCAUAUUUUUAUCUAUAAUCCACCAAUGAAAUUCUUGAUUUAUGCACCAAAAUUGGACGUAUAUAAUUUGUUCCCUUAUAUCUUUAUUUAGAUUAUAUCUUUAUAUAGAUUAGUGUAUAGUUUAAUAAUAUUAUUUCAAAUAUAUAUUUAAUAUUUUUCCCACCGGGUGUUACAUCUUUUACAUAUAAGCAUGUUAUAUAAUAAUAUAAUAUAAAGAUUUUUAACUUACUUUAAUUUUGGUAUAUGUCAAGCAUAUGCCAAUGAUGUUGCAUAUUAGAUUAAUUAGUAAAGAGAUAUGUCCUUUCAAAGAAUAAAUUAUAAUUAAAAUUGACAUGCUAGUCUUCUAUAUACUGUUAAGAUGUCUACAUACAGAGAAACUUCAUACCACACAUAGUCCAACGAUUGAUCUCUGAUUUGAAAAUAUAGAACGUGUAUUUAUUCUUAUUUGAAAAACGUGGCAACUAGAUCAGAGUUGGAAGCUAAGAUAAUAUAUAUUAGUACAAACAACUCACAAAGGAUAAGAGGACAAAAUGACUUAUUAUUAAAAAAAACUGAAUUAGGUAAAGACUGUAUUUAUUUAAGAUUUUGUCAAUAAAGUGGUUGUAAUAAUUCAACAUGUGGAAACAGGUGCUGUGGUUGAGGUGACAUGCAAGGCAGGAGACAAAGAUGUGGUGGCUUAUGGUAAGACAAAGAUCAAUGGUAAAUACAGCAUCACGGUUAAAGGAUUUGAGUACGGAAAGUAUGGUGGAGCCAAGGCAUGCAAAGCUAAGCUCCAUAUGGCGCCCAAGGAUUCUAAAUGUAAUAUUGCAACAAAUCUUCAUUGGGGCAUUAAGGGUGCUAAACUCAAAGUGAAAUCUAAGAGCAAAUAUGAAGUUGUUUUGUCUGCUAAGCCAUUUGCAUAUGCUCCCAAGACUCCUUACAAGAAGUGUUACAAGCCUGCACCAACACCAGCUCCGGUGACUCCGGUGACACCGCCUUAUUAUUAUAAGUCUCCACCACCGCCACCCAAGUCUCCCGCACCAACUCCUUAUUAUUACAAAUCUCCACCACCGCCAUCUAAAUCUCCGGCACCAACUCCUUACUACUACAAGUCUCCACCACCACCGCCUAAAUCUCCCACGCCAACACCUUACUACUACAAGUCUCCUCCCCCACCAACAAAAUCUCCGGUUCCAGCUCCUUAUUACUACAAAUCUCCCCCACCACCAACUAAGUCUCCCACUCCGGCUCCUUAUUACUACAAGUCCCCACCACCACCUUCACCAUCACCACCACCUCCAUACUACUACAAAUCACCACCACCACCUGUCAAGUCUCCCACUCCCGCUCCUUAUUACUACAAGUCCCCACCACCGCCGUCACCAUCUCCACCACCUCCAUACUACUACAAAUCACCACCACCACCCGUGAAAUCUCCAACUCCAACUCCUUACUACUACAAGUCUCCACCCCCACCGUCACCAUCUCCUCCCCCACCAUACUACUACAAAUCACCACCACCACCCGUGCAUUCACCUCCACCACCUUACUACUACAAAUCACCACCCCCGCCAGUGCACUCACCUCCACCACCCUACUACUACAAAUCACCACCACCUCCUUCGCCAUCUCCUCCACCACCAUAUUACUACAAGUCCCCACCUCCACCAAGUCCAUCCCCUCCACCUCCAUACCAUUACUCAUCACCUCCACCACCUGUGAAAUCCCCACCACCUCCAUAUCAUUAUUCCUCACCCCCACCACCUGUCAAAUCCCCGCCACCUCCAUAUCAUUAUUCGUCACCCCCACCACCAGUGAAAUCCCCGCCACCUCCAUAUCAUUAUUCGUCACCCCCACCACCAGUGAAAUCCCCGCCACCUCCAUAUCAUUAUUCGUCACCCCCACCACCAGUGAAAUCCCCGCCACCACCAUAUCAUUAUUCAUCACCACCACCCCCCGUCAAAUCCCCACCACCUCCUUACCAUUACUCUUCACCACCACCACCAGUAAAAUCUCCACCACCUCCAUAUCAUUAUUCAUCACCUCCACCACCAGUGAAAUCCCCACCACCUCCAUACCACUAUACGUCACCACCACCUCCAGUAAAAUCACCACCACCCCCAUAUCAUUAUUCAUCACCUCCACCACCCGUGAAGUCCCCACCACCACCAUACCACUAUUCUUCACCACCACCACCAGUAAAAUCCCCACCUCCUCCAUACCAUUACUCAUCACCUCCCCCACCUGUGAAAUCACCACCCCCUCCAUACCACUACUCUUCACCACCACCACCAGUCAAAUCCCCACCUCCUCCAUACCACUACUCUUCACCUCCACCACCGGUGAAAUCUCCACCUCCCCCAUACCACUACUCAUCUCCACCACCGCCAGUGAAAUCACCUCCACCACCGUACCACUACUCAUCUCCACCACCUCCCGUGAAAUCCCCACCUCCACCGUACCACUACUCAUCACCUCCACCACCCGUAAAAUCACCACCUCCUCCAUACCACUACUCAUCACCACCACCGCCAGUGAAGUCACCUCCUCCCCCAUACCACUACUCAUCACCACCACCACCAGAAAAAUCACCACCCCCACCAUACCACUACUCAUCUCCCCCACCCCCAGAGAAAUCUCCGCCCCCACCUUACCAUUACUCAUCCCCUCCACCACCCGUAAAAUCCCCAC